rnacentral:rRNA from 1 species
ACUAAGCCAUGCGAGUCGACACAGCAAUGUGUGGCAUACGGCUCAGUAACACGUAGUCAACAUGCCCAGGGGACGUGGAUAACCUCGGGAAACUGAGGAUAAACCGCGAUAGGUCACUACUUCUGGAAUGGGUAAUGACCCAAACCUAUAUGGCCCCUGGAUUGGACUGCGGCCGAUCAGGCUGUUGGUGAGGUAAUGGCCCACCAAACCUGUAACCGGUACGGGCUCUGGGAGGAGGAGCCCGGAGAUGGGCACUGAGACAAGGGCCCAGGCCCUAUGGGGCGCAGCAGGCGCGAAACCUCUGCAAUAGGCGAAAGCUUGACAGGGUUACUCUGAGUGAUUUCCGUUAAGGAGAUCUUUUGGCACCUCUAAAAAUGGUGCAGAAUAAGGGGUGGGCAAGUCUGGUGUCAGCCGCCGCGGUAAUACCAGCACCCCGAGUGG